rnacentral:rRNA from 1 species
UACGAGGGGGGCAAAUGUUGUUCGGAAUCACUGGGCGUAAAGGGAGCGUAGGCGGGUUCUUAAGUAAGGUGUUUAAUCCCGGGGCCCAACCCCGGACCGGCACUUUAAACUGGGAAUCUUGAAUAGUGGAGAGGUCGGUGGAAUUGGGGGUGUAGCGGUGGAAUGCGUAGAGAUCCCCAAGAACACCAGUUGCGAAGGCGGCCGACUGGACACAUAUUGACGCUGAGGCUCGAAAGCAUGGGGAGCAAACAGG